rnacentral:rRNA from 1 species
UGAGUACGAGCUGCUACGGCAGCGAAGUGGGUGACGUCAAGCUUCCAAGAAAAGCCCUAUACCCGUUAAGGCAUGAUGGCCUGUACCCGAAACCGACACAGGUGGGGUGGUAGAGAAUACCGAGGGGCGCGAGAUAACUCUCUCUAAGGAACUCGGCAAAAUGGCCCCGUAACUUCGGGAGAAGGGGUGCCACCGCAAGGUGGUCGCAGUGAAGAGGCCCAGGCGACUGUUUACCAAAAACACAGGUCUCCGCUAAGUCGCAAGACGAUGUAUGGGGGCUGACGCCUGCCCAGUGCCGGAAGGUUAAGGAAGCUGGUCAGCGUAAGCGAAGCUAGCGACUGAAGCCCCGGUGAACGGCGGCCGUAACAAUAACGGUCCUAAGGAAGCGAAAUUCCUUGUCGGGUAAGUUCCGACCCGCACGAAAGGCGUAACGAUCUGGGCGCUGUCUCGGAGAGAGGCUCGGCGAAAUAGAAUUGUCUGUGAAGAUGCGGACUACGUGCACCCGGACAGAAAGACCCUAUGAAGCUUUACUGUAGCUUGGUAUUGUGCUCGGGCUCGGAAUGCGCAGGAUAGGUGGGAGGCUAUGAACCAUUGCUUGUGGGUGAUGGUGAGCCACUGGUGAGAUACCACUCUUUCCGAGCUAGAGUUCUAACAGCCACCCGUUAUCCGGGGGCUGGACAGUAUCAGGUGGGCAGUUUGACUGGGGCGGUCGCCUCCUAAAAGGUAACGGAGGCGCGCAAAGGUCUGCUCAGGCUGGUUGGAAAUCAGCCGACGAGUGUAAAAGCAGAAGCAAGCUUGACUGUGAGACCUACAAGUCGAACAGGGAGGAAACUCGGCUUUAGUGAUCCGACGGUUCUGCGUGGAAGGGCCGUCGCUCAACGGAUAAAAGUUACUCUAGGAUAACAGGCUGAUCUCCCCCAAGAGUUCACAUCGACGGGGAGGUUUGGCACCUCGAUGUCGGCUCAUCGCAACCUGGGGCUGAAGUCGGUCCCAAGGGUUGGGCUGUUCGCCCAUUAAAGCGGUACGCGAGCUGGGUUCAGAACGUCGUGAGACAGUUCGGUCCAUAUCCGGUGCAUGCGCAGGAAUAUUGAGAGGAUUUCUCCCUAGUACGAGGGGACCGGGAGGAACGCACCUCUGGUGUACCAGUUAUCGUGCCAACGGUAAACGCUGGGUAGCCAUGUGCGGAGAGGAUAACCGCUGAAAGCAUCUAAGUGGGAAGCCCACCUCAAGAUGAGUAUUCCCAUGGGUUAACCCAGUAAGGUCACGGGAAGAACACCCGUUGAUAGGCUCUACGUGGAAGCGCAGUAAUGUGUGAAGCGGAGGAGUACUAAUAGACCGAGGGCUUGACC